rnacentral:rRNA from 1 species
UACGUAGGGUGCAAGCGUUAAUCGGAAUUACUGGGCGUAAAGCGUGCGCAGGCGGUUUUGUAAGUUUGUCGUGAAAUCCCCGGGCUCAACCUGGGAAUGGCGAUGAAGACUGCAAGGCUAGAAUCUGGCAGAGGGGGGGUGAGAAUUCCACGUGUAGCAGUGAAAUGACGUAGAGAUGUGGAGGAACACCGAUGGCGAAGGCAGCCCCCCUGGGUCAAGAU